rnacentral:rRNA from 1 species
GACAGAGGGUGCAAACGUUGCUCGGAAUUACUGGGCGUAAAGCGCGUGUAGGCGGUUCCGCAAGUCGGGUGUGAAAGCCCAGGGCUCAACCCUGGAAGUGCACUUGAUACUACGGAGCUUGAGUACUGAAGAGGAGAGCGGAAUUCCCGGUGUAGAGGUGAAAUUCGUAGAUAUCGGGAGGAACACCAGUGGCGAAGGCGGCUCUCUGGGCAGAUACUGACGCUGAGAAGCGAAAGCAUGGGGAGCAAACAGG